rnacentral:rRNA from 1 species
UACGGGGGGGCAAGCGUUGUUCGGAAUUACUGGGCGUAAAGGGCUCGUAGGCGGCCAACUAAGUCUGAUGUGAAAUCCCCAGGCUUAACCUGGGAACUGCAUCCGAUACUGGAUGGCUUGAAUCCGGGAGAGGGAUGCAGAAUUCCAGGUGUAGCGGUGAAAUGCGUAGAUAUCUGGAGGAAUACCGGUGGCGAAGGCGGCAUCCUGGACCGGCAUUGACGCUGAGGCGCGAAAGCCAGGGGAGCAAACGGG